UUAAUAUUGUAAACAAAGCGUAUUAACUACAAUUCAUAGUGAUAAGGCCAUGCUUCUGCGAUUGAGCAUAGUUAUUACUGGUUUCACUGGGUGAUUAUGGUGAGGUUCUUCUCACCUUGGCCUGCCACCCCAAAAAAAAGAGAAAGAGAAAAAAAAA